AUUGAACGCUGGCGGCAUGCCUUACACAUGCAAGUCGAACGGCAGCACGGGUGCUUGCACCUGGUGGCGAGUGGCGAACGGGUGAGUAAUACAUCGGAACAUGUCCUGUAGUGGGGGAUAGCCCGGCGAAAGCCGGAUUAAUACCGCAUACGAUCUACGGAUGAAAGCGGGGGACCUUCGGGCCUCGCGCUAUAGGGUUGGCCGAUGGCUGAUUAGCUAGUUGGUGGGGUAAAGGCCUACCAAGGCGACGCUCAGUAGCUGGUCUGAGAGGACGACCAGCCACACUGGGACUGAGACACGGCCCAGACUCCUACGGGAGGCAGCGGUGGGGAAUUUUGGACAAUGGGCGAAAGCCUGAUCCAGCAAUGCCGCGUGUGUGAAGAAGGCCUUCGGGUUGUAAAGCACUUUUGUCCGGAAAGAAAUCCUUGGCCCUAAUACGGUCGGGGGAUGACGGUACCGGAAGAAUAAGCACCGGCUAACUACGUG
rnacentral:rRNA from 1 species